GCCGGGAAGAGGAAGAAACAGAGACCUCAAGAGCACUGGGAAUGGGAACAUGGAUGAAAGACCUUCUAUUUUAUUUGCACCUCUAGUGUUGUGGGCGCAGAUAUUUAAGUUGGAUCCUUUCAUGAUGCCUCCCAUUCUUGCUGUUCUUGUGCACUCGUUCCUCUUCCUUUUGGCU
rnacentral:pre_miRNA from 1 species